rnacentral:rRNA from 1 species
AGCCAGCAGCCGCGGUAAUACGGAGGUGGCAAGCGUUGUUCGGAAUUACUGGGCGUAAAGGGCGCGUAGGCGGCUUGGCAAGUCAGAUGUGAAAGCCCCGGGCUUAACUCGGGAAUUGCAUCUGAAACUGCUUUGCUUGAGUCCUGGAGGGGAUAGUGGAAUUCCCAGUGUAGCGGUGAAAUGCGUAGAUAUUGGGAGGAACACCUGCGGCGAAGGCGGCUAUCUGGACAGUGACUGACGCUGAGGCGCGAAAGCUAGGGGAGCGAACGGGAUUAGAUACCCCGGUAGUCCUAGCCGUAAACGAUGGGCACUUGGUGUUGGGGGUAUUGAGUCCCUCGGUGCCGGAGUUAACACGUUAAGUGCCCCGCCUGGGGAGUACGGUCGCAAGACUGAAACUUAAAGGAAUUGGCGGGGGA